rnacentral:rRNA from 1 species
CUAGUAACGGCGAGUGAAGCGGCAACAGCUCAAAUUUGAAAUCUGGCUUCGGCCCGAGUUGUAAUUUGCAGAGGAAGCUUUAGGCGCGGCACCAUCUGAGUCCCCUGGAACGGGGCGCCAUAGAGGGUGAGAGCCCCGUAUAGAUGGACGCCUAGCCUGUGUAAAGCUCCUUCGACGAGUCGAGUAGUUUGGGAAUGCUGCUCAAAAUGGGAGGUAAAUUUCUUCUAAAGCUAAAUAUUGGCCAGAGACCGAUAGCGCACAAGUAGAGUGAUCGAAAGAUGAAAAGCACUUUGAAAAGAGGGUUAAAUAGCACGUGAAAUUGUUGAAAGGGAAGCGCUUGUGACCAGACUUGCGCCGGGCGGAUCAUCCGGUGUUCUCACCGGUGCACUCCGCCCGGCUCAGGCCAGCAUCGGUUCUCGCGGGGGGAUAAAGGCCCUGGGAACCGGGAGUGUUAUAGCCCGGGGCGUAAUGCCCUCGCGGGGACCGAGGACCGCGCAUCUGCAAGGAUGCUGGCGUAAUGGUCAUCAGCGACCCGUCUUGAAACACGGACCAAGGAGUCAAGGUUUUGCGCGAGUGUUUGGGUGUAAAACCCGCACGCGUAAUGAAAGUGAACGUAGGUGAGAGCUUCGGCGCAUCAUCGACCGAUCCUGAUGUUUUCGGAUGGAUUUGAGUAGGAGCGUUAAGCCUUGGACCCGAAAGAUGGUGAACUAUGCUUGGAUAGGGUGAAGCCAGAGGAAACUCUGGUGGAGGCUCGCAGCGGUUCUGACGUGCAAAUCGAUCGUCAAAUCUG